GCCGCUAUAGCUCAGUGGUACAGCACUGGUCUUGUAAUCCAGGGGUCGUGAGUUCACACCUCACUGGCGGCA
rnacentral:tRNA from 1 species